AUUGAACGCUGGCGGCAGGCCUAACACAUGCAAGUCGAGCGGAGCGGCGGACGGGUGAGUAAUGCCUAGGUAUCUGCCUGGUUGUGGGGGAUAACGUCCGGAAACGGGCGCUAAUACCGCAUGCUAUCAGUGCAGCCUAGGUCGGAUUAGCUAGUUGGUGGGGUAAAGGCCUACCAAGGAGACGAUCCGUAACUGGUCUGAGAGGAUGAUCAGUCACACGGGAACUGAGACCCGGUCCAGACUCCUAGGGGGGGCAGCAGUGGGGAAUAUUGGACAAUGGGGGAAAGCCUGAUCCAGCCAUGCCGCGUGGGUGAAGAAGGUCUUCGGAUUGUAAAGCACUUUAAGUAGGGAGGCGUUACCAACAGAAUAAGCACCGGCUAACUUCGUGCCAGCAGCCGCGGUAAUAC
rnacentral:rRNA from 1 species